ensembl:lncRNA
UUAAGUUUCAUGAUGUUUUUUCACCCGUUUCAGAGUUUAUAAUGGGUGUGUAUGGGACGGAAUGUUGGGGCUAGAGUGAGGCAGCUCAACUGCUAGAGUGAGAGGAGCAAAAAAAAUAAUCUUAAAAUCUUUUUUAAAACUGCUGCUGUGUCCGCAGCGUUUGCUCUACAGGUAUGAUUUUACCCUCAAAACGUAGCCAUGGCUGUCCUCUUUCAUCCAAUGUGUUUACUAUUAUCCUAGGUGUUAUGGUUCUUUCAUAAAUGUCACCAAUGCACAGCCUCCUCCCUCCAACUCUUCCAUAGACUCUAAUGUUAAAAUGGCUCAGAAGGUUCGUUUGAAAAUCAGAAGAGCAUGGUGUCUUUACACUGUCACCACGUCCAUAUAAUAAGCUCCACAGGCAUGAAAACUGAGAAUUAGGUAGACUAGACAUGGCUGUCGCUCACGGUGAAAGAAUUUUGUCAGUACGACAUGUACUUUUCAUUUGGGAACGAUUUGUUUCGGCCUGACUUUUCUGUUCAUUUUAAGCAGCAAAAGUGAGGCGCAUGUCUGUGUACGUGUGUAUGGAGCCAUUGGGUGCGGUCACUAUAGCAACCAGGCUCACACCUGCCUGCUUAACGAGCUCUCUCUCACUCUGCCAAGAUUCAUCUUAAACACUUCUCUUUCAACUGCUGCUGUGUCCACAGUGUUACAGCCAUCAUUUUACCCUCAAAAUGUAGCCAUCGUUGUUCUCUUUCCAACAUUGUCUUUCAAAGCUCAGACUUUUACAUUUUUUAAACUGUGUGGAUCCAAGCGGAGGGAUCACAUUUUAGUCAUUCAGUGAUUCAA